rnacentral:misc_RNA from 1 species
GCCUCCCUCACCGGCCCUAAACAUGGGGUGGAAUCCAGACACUGAUGCUUUAACCCAGAUUUUAGGAUUACUACGCGAAUCACAAUCCCCGGACACGGUAGUUCAACAAUCAGUGCAACAGAAACUAGAAGAACUCAACAAAUUCACAGACUUCAACAAAUAUCUUAUAUUUGUCCUCACAAAACUAACUUCCGAAGAUGAACCUACGAGAUCUCUCAGUGGGCUAAUUUUGAAGAAUAAUGUCAAGGCACAUUUUCACCAGUUCCCCCCUGAUGUGGCACAAUUUAUUAAGGCGGAAUGUUUGUCGGCCGUGGGGGAUCCGUCUCCUCUCAUCCGGGCGACGGUGGGCAUCCUCAUCACGACGACAGCAUCCAAAGGCGAACUAUCCACGUGGCCCGAGCUCCUCCCUAGACUAUGCGAGAUGCUGGACUCUGCGGACUACAACGUGUGCGAGGGAGCGUUCGGGGCGCUACAGAAGAUAUGUGAGGACAGCGCUGAAUUCCUAGAGAAGUCCCCCGAUCGGCCGCUAGACUCGCUAAUUCCUAAGUUUCUUCAGUUCUUCAAACACACGUCAUCGAAAAUUAGAUCUCAUGCCAUUGCCUGCGUCAAUCAGUUUAUAAUUAGCAAAACUCAAGCUCUCAUGGCAAACAUUGACCCCUUUCUACAGAAUCUGUUCCACCUGGCGAUGGACGAUGACCCCGACGUGCGGAAGAACGUGUGCCGGGCGCUGGUCAUGUUGCUGGACGCUCACAUCUCCUCCCUCAUUCCUCAUAUGCACAACAUUAUUGAAUAUAUGAUGAUUAGAACACAGGACCCCGACGAGAACGUGGCUCUGGAAGCGUGCGAGUUCUGGCUCUCCCUGGCAGAACACCCCAUCUGUAAAGAGGCCCUCAAGCCGCACCUACCCAAGUUGAUACCCAUCCUAGUCAGGGGGAUGAAGUACUCUGAGAUUGACAUCAUUCUUCUGAAGGGCGACGUGGAGGAGGACGAGAGUGUGCCGGACCGCAGUGAAGACAUCAAGCCCAGGUUCCACAAGUCUAGGCACACGAUCCGACACGAGCCUAUGGAGAACGGUGGCAGCGGAGAGGAGUUCCCCGACGAUGAAUCGGACGACGGCCUGGACGACGAUUCCUCCUUAUCGGACUGGAAUUUGAGAAAGUGCUCGGCGGCUGCCCUAGACGUGCUGGCCAACGUGUUCCGGGAAGAUAUGUUGCCAGUCAUCCUCCCCAUACUGAAGGAGACGCUGUUUCACCAGGAGUGGGAGAUACGCGAAUCGGGAAUCCUCGCUCUAGGGGCUAUCGCAGAAGGGUGUAUGAAUGGUAUGACCCAACACCUGCCUGAGCUGAUCCCUUACCUGAUCAGUUGCCUCCAGGACAGGAAGGCGCUGGUCCGCUCCAUCACCUGCUGGACUCUCUCUCGUUACUGUCACUGGGCGGUGGUGCUCCCCGAUCACACCUUCCUCAAGCCUUUAAUGUAUGAGCUCCUGAAAUGCGUUUUGGACAGCAACAAGCGAGUGCAGGAGGCAGCGUGCUCAGCCUUCGCCACCCUAGAGGAGGAAGCGUGCACGGAGUUAGUCCCUUACCUGGCCGACAUCCUCAAAACAUUAGUCUUUGCUUUUAAGAAAUAUCAGGCCAAAAAUCUGUUGAUACUGUACGACGCAAUUGGGACGUUAGCGGACUCGGUGGGGAACUAUCUGAACAAGGAAGAGUACAUUCAGAUGCUGAUGCCUCCUCUGAUCGAGAAGUGGAACGUACUCAAGGACGAGGAUAAGGACUUGUUCCCCCUACUGGAGUGUCUGUCCAGUGUGGCUACGGCUCUCCAGUCUGGCUUCUUGCCAUAUUGUGGACCAGUGUAUCAGAGGUGUGUGUCCCUAGUGGAGCAAACACUCAAUCAGACAAUGGCUCACGCGCAGAACCCGGGGCAGUUCGAGGCGGCCGAUAAGGACUUCAUGAUAGUGUCCCUUGAUCUGCUGUCGGGACUAGCGGAGGGUCUGAACGGGCAUGUGGGGCAGCUGGUCCAGCAGUCGAACAUCAUGCAGCUGCUGUAUCAGGCCAUGCAGGACCCCAUGCCAGAAGUUAGACAAAGCUCCUUUGCUCUACUCGGUGAUCUGACCAAAGCAUGUUUCCAGUAUGUGGCUCCUUGUAUAUCUGAAUUUAUGCCUAUUCUUGGUCAGAACUUGAACCCUGAGUUAAUAUCAGUGUGCAACAACGCGACCUGGGCCAUAGGUGAAAUUUCAGUUAAACUAGGGCCAGAAAUGCGUGUGUAUAUAAAUCUCGUCCUGAACGACCUGAUCUUCAUCAUUAACAAACCUAACACGCCCAAGACCUUGCUGGAGAACACAGGUGCAUCUCCUUGCGCAACAUCCGAGACAACGAGGAGAAGGACUCGGCGUUCCGCGGGGUGUGUAACAUGAUCAGCGUCAACCCCGGGGGUGUAGUGGAGGACUUCAUAUUCUUCUGUGAUGCCAUAGCCUCCUGGAUCAACCCCAAGCAAGACCUUAAAGAAAUGUUCCAUAAGAUACUCCACUGUUUCAAGGAACAGGUGGGAGAGGAGAACUGGAAGCGCUUUACGGAACAGUUCCCGCCUCCACUGAAGGAACGCUUGACUCAGCAUUACGGAGUGUGAAGCAG